CCGGAUCACGUACAUUUGUACAUGAACGUGUCUACGAUGAGUUUGUAGAGAAAGCAAAGGCCCGCACAUUAAAACGUGUGGUUGGCGAUCCCUUUAGAAAGAGUGUUGAACAAGGUCCUCAGGUUGAUUCUGAACAAUUUGAUAAGAUCUUGAAGUAUAUAAGAUCUGGGGUUGACGGUGGUGCUACUCUAGAAACCGGAGGCCAAAGAUUUGGCUCUAAUGGAUAUUAUAUCCAACCAACUGUUUUCUCAAAUGUUCAGGAUGACAUGCUAAUU